AUGACUGUCACAAGAAAUGGUUGUCGGAUUUUCCCCAAGCUCCAUUAUGAAGUCCAUGGUCUCGUCGCGGACAAGUGCUACAGUAUGGUGUUUCAUAUAGCGGCAGUGGACAAUUUCCGCUACAAAUAUGAAGAAGGAAGCUAGAAGCGAUACAGAAUCCAGCAGUUCAAGGAGCCCAAGUUCAUUUGUCAUCCGGCUGGAAUCAAGAUGGGAGCGUACAUUGUGGACGUCCAGAACAAUUUCAUUUGAGGAUUUUUUCAUCACCACCAACCCACAACCUACCGACAAUUCCAUGAUCCAUCUGCCGCCACACUGUAAGUUCACACCAAUUCUAGAUGUGUAUGAGGUGGUGUUGGAUCAUAUGCAGCAACCUGCAACAAUGCAUCGCGUCAGUUCCUGCCGACUUCCGUACACUUUUAUGACAGUCACGAUGUACAAGAAUCGAGAAGCCCGUGUCUUGAAAUUGGGGAUGAACCCUCACGCUCGACAUUUUCUGAAGAAUAAUACCAAUAAAAACCAUCUGGAUACAGCUUCCUUGAUUCCUCCAAUUCCAUCUGUCCAACCAUUGCCUCUUUUUCCUCUCCCACAAAACUCGAUGUCUUAUACUUUCUCAUACGACACGUACCCGUCAAACAUCCAUGUUGCCCCGAUUCAGCUCCCGUUCCCAUUCCCUGCAGUGCUCUCAACUCUAGCUUCAUCCCUUCAACUUUGUCGGGACGGGGAUCCUGAAGAAAUCGAUGAGGAGAUCGACAUUAUGAAUUAG